AUACCGCAAAAUGUUAUAUGUUUUACUACAAAAAGUAGUUUCUACCAUAUAGAAGAGCUUUGGAAGUAGCUGGUGUGUGUUGUCCUGCCUGCUGACCGACCAUCGCCUAUUUUAGUCAUUUCAUAUCUAAUUUCAAGUAUAGGUGUUGCACAACAUUAACACAUGAUGGGCCCGGAUGAUAGUUGUUGCACAUCAGAAGCCCUAUUGUGUUCUUAAGAUGACAACAGGAAUGUGGUUGCUUGGUUUGUAUCUAAUCAUCCUGCUUCCUUUUCUCUUCCAACUGUAUUUCAUACUCCAUUUCCCAUGUUCCUCUUAUAGCAGGUGACUGUUGCCGGUAACAUGUUUGGUGUUUUUUUCAGUAAUUUUCUAUCAUUUUAGUUCUCUGUGCUUCUGAGAGCUUCCUUAACUGGCUUCGAUUUUUCCCUUUGCUUUUCCUUUGAAUUUCAAAACAAACCCUUUUAUGGUAGCCUCUUGAUGCUGAAGAGAUCUUGAUCAGAGUACAAAUUCGUGGUGAAACAUUUGAAGAAGUAGAUCGGGAAUGUAAAAUUUCUCCAUCUACUUUAGUUUUAAAAUAAAGACAUUCUCAAGAAAAAUAGCUUUCUGAAAACUGGGUGUCAAUUUGCUCUGUUCGGUGGUUUGCUAAGAUUUGACCGGGUUGCAGCUGCUGCUGCUGAGCGCUAGCCGCGACUUCCUUUUUCCCUCUCUGUUCCUGGCUUCCCGUUUCAAUUGUUACAUUCGUGACCAUGUGCCUGUUUGUGGCUUAUCUCCCUGUUUCUUUUGUAUUUGAGUGAAGCACCUAAUGAAGUUAUCUCAGUUUAUUACUUUGCAGUAUAUUGAAGGCUGCAUAACAUAUUCCGCAUCAACAUUACAGCAGGUAAGGGUAAGGUCUGCGUACACACUACCCUCCCCAGACCCCACUUGUGGGAAUAUACUGGAUUUGUUGUUGUUGUUUCUGCAAGCAGAGGCAGAAGUACCAGGGUUGUAGGAAAUGAAAUCAGCAAAAUCCAUGGUAUCGAAGCUUUGUUCUUUUCAUAUCUCAUCAGGAAGAUAGAUUAUUCUUUUAAUAGAUAUGAUUUUCCUUUGCUGGAUGUACUUCUCUUUGGGUUAGCCUAAACUAAUAAGAGAGUACAUAUAAAUAUAUUGUUUCACAAUAACACAUUAAACAAUAGAAUCUUUAUGUGUUAUUUGGGAAACAGCAGCUUACUAACCAAACAACCACCAUAAAUGUGAAAUGGGAACCACCAGGUAAAGGCUGUUACAAACUAAACACUGAUGGCUCAGGAUUGGGCAAUCCUGGAGCUGGUGGUAUAGGAGUUAUUAGGAACUGCAGGCGGGACUGGGCCAUUGGCUUUAGGGGUGGCCUUCCUCAUGCCACCAAUACAUUAACUGAACUAACUGCUCUUAUGCAGGGGCUAAAAUUAGCAGUUGAUAGAAGUUCACACCUCUGGAAAUAGCCACAGACUCGGUGGAGGUAAUCUGAAUGCUUAAGCAGUGGAGUGAUAAUUAUAACCCUAAUAUUAAAUAAUGCAGGCAGUUGAUGCAAAAGCUGGGAAGCUCAAUGAUCAAGCACACCUAUAGGGAGCAAAACAAAGUGGCACAUCUAAUGGUGAAAGAAGGUGCCAAGAAGUAACUUUUGGAAAUCAAACUAUGUUGAUAAUUCAUCCGAUGUUCGUGAAUGAAGUUUUUUGGGCAGCAUCCUAGGAACUCGUAUGAAAGAGAAAUAGUAAUUUGUAAUAGCUCUAGUAUUUUGGCACAAUAUUUGGUUUUGGGUGGGAAUCAUAAUGAUUCCCAAGUUUGCAUUAACCAGUACAUUUAAAGUAUAUGUAUCCAUUCACCCAAAAAAGAAAGAAUACACAUACUAGAAAAUAAGAGCUUACUCAUCUGGUUGGUUUAUAAAUCAAUAAUAGGUCCGCCUGAUAAAACAUCUA